rnacentral:rRNA from 1 species
GACGUAGGGCGCGAGCGUUGUCCGGAUUUAUUGGGCGUAAAGAGCGUGUAGGCGGCUAGGUAGGUCCGUUGUGAAAACUCGAGGCUCAACCUCGAGACGUCGAUGGAAACCAUCUAGCUAGAGUCCGGAAGAGGAGACUGGAAUUCCUGGUGUAGCGGUGAAAUGCGCAGAUAUCAGGAGGAACACCGGUGGCGAAGGCGGGUCUCUGGGCCGAUACUGACGCUGAGGAGCGAAAGCGUGGGGAGCGAACAGG